AUAAAAGCUGUCUUGUUCUGUAAAUAAUCAUCCAAAACCUAUUAUAAAGAACAAGGAUUUCAUGGAGUCUCGAGCUCCUAUAACUGAUGUGUCUUGCUUUGUUGUCAGAAUCAGGACUUGUGGCAUUGUUAUCUGGGGAUGCAGCUGGAAGGGAUGGUGGUGUACAGGCUUUACUAUCCUGGAUCUCAUUUAAAAUUUCCAUUGCAUAUUCAAGGGCAUUGAGCUGGGGAGGGACAGUAAAGCCGUUAGAGAGCAAGAAACAUUGCAGGGAAGAAAGCGUUCCAUGGUGAACAACAGUUCCUUUACAUAACAAAAGUAAUUUAUCAAUGGUAGAAAGGAUCUUGAAGCUUGGUUGAUGAAUGGACAAAAUCACUGUGCGAUGACGUGAAGUAGCAAUGGACUUAAGGGUUUGCAUUACAUUAAGGGCUGAUUUACUAUCAAGGCCCGAAGUGGGUUCAUCCAGAAGUAAAACUGCAGGGUCAUGGAGGAGGCUCAGCCCUAUUGAAACACGUCUACGUUCACCGCCUGAUAACCCAUGAGCUAACCGGGCGUUAGCCAAGUGUGUUAGGCUGAGCUCAUUGAGAAGAGAGUCCACAAUA
rnacentral:misc_RNA from 1 species